rnacentral:rRNA from 1 species
GACGAACGCUGGCGGCGUGCCUAAUACAUGCAAGUAGAACGCAGUUGCGAACGGGUGAGUAAAGCGUAGGUAACUGCCUCAUAGCGGGGGAUAACUAUUGGAAACGAUAGCUAAUACCGCAUACUGUGAGAUGGACCUGCUUUGUAUUAGCUAGUUGUUGAGGUAAAGGCUCACCAAGGCGACGAUACAUAGCCGACCUGAGAGGGGGGUCGGCCAAAAUGGGGCUAAGACACGGCCCAGAAUCCUACGGGAGGCAGCAAUAGGGGAGCUUUGGCAAAGGACGGAAGUCUGAACGAGCAACUCCGCGUGAUUGAAGAAUGUUUUCGGAUCGGAAAGCUCUGUUGGUAGAGAAGCGGUAACUGACCAGAAAGGGACGGCUAACUACGUGCCAGCAGCCGCGGUAAUUC